AUGGAUCUCCUCGAUAUAGUUUUGGAAAAUAAUAAUUUUAGAUUUGAUGCGCAGUUUUAUUUGCAGAUCUGGGGGAUAGCCAUGGGAAGUCCAAUGGCCCCCUCUUUAGCCAAUUUGUUUGUUGCACAGCUAGAAAUCGAUUACAUUUAUAACCAAGAAAGGAAUCCCUUUUUAAAAUAUAUGAUUUAUUAUGGGAGAUAUAUAGAUGAUAUAUUCACGAUUUUUUCUAGUUACCAGAUAGCUGAACAAUAUAGUUCCUGGAUCAACACCAUUCACCCCAACAUUAAAUUUUCCAAAACCAUUAAAUCAACAGACAUAAAUUUCUUAGAUGUUUCUAUACACCAAGAUGAGAGGGGCCUGUAUGUAAGUAAUUACUCGAAACCAACUGACAAAAACUCAAUUUUGCAUUUCAAUAGUUAUCAUCAUUAUUCACUUAAAGCCAAUGUGCCUUACUCUCAAUUUCUCAGAAUCCAAAGGAACAAUAGCAAGCCAGAUCAUUAUCUCUCAGCAGCCCAUUCCCUCAACAGUAAACUUAAAGCUAGAGGCUAUCCAGCUAAAGUACUACAACAGGCUUUUCAGAAGUCCCUACAAAUUGAUAGAAGUACAUUAUUGACAUACAAACCCAAACAACAACAGAACAGGAUAAUUUGUCCACUAACACUUACCACACAAACCCCACAUAUCCGCAGGAUCAUUAACAAACAUUGGCACCUUAUACGGGAGAUCCCAGGAUGCAAAGAUACACCUAUCAUAGCCCACAAAAGAUCUCAAAAUUUAAAAGACAUUCUUAUUCAUUCUGACUUUAAAAAAUCCAUUGUAGAAUCCACAAGUAUUACAACAGGGAGUUUUAAGUGCAGUCAUUGUGAUGUUUGUUGCCUCACAUUUGACAUUAAGCAGUUUUCCCAUCCAUUAUUACACAUCAAAAUCAAUUUGAAAGACUUUAUUACAUGCUCAACGGAAAAUGUAAUCUAUGUAAUUCAGUGUCCUUGUGACUUGCUGUACAUUGGGAUGACCACUAGACCACUGAGAAUCAGAAUUCAAGAACAUCGUUCAAAAAUUAGAAGAGAAAGUCUAGAUUCCACUUAA
rnacentral:lncRNA from 1 species